CCAGGGCCAGCAGUAGUUCCUCAUCGAUAAGCCAGUGCAGAGGUCCUCACUAUAUCCAGAUGACAGUUUUUCUCUUACUCAGGAGGAGAUGCUCAAGGCACCAGCAGGACUGUGGCUGACUGCCUGGUGCCAAAGGCAGGCCCUUCAAACCCAGCACGGUUCCACGAUGAUGUUCCAGCAGGAUCUCUGUGGCUUCUCCUGGGAACGAUGUGGGGCUGUUGGAUGUGGAGCCACUGGUGGAGCAACCAGAUCUUUUGACAGCAGACACGAGCAUUGAGGUUUGUCAGUUAUCAUGUCUGCGGCAGGAACUGACAGGUGGAAUAGACAUUUUCUUACCCACAAAAGCAAAACAAAGUGGUAUUUUGAUAUUUGACAGAUUCAGGUAAGACAACUUGCUCUUCUUCGGAACCUUGCACAAAAAUUGCACUUUCCCAACAUUGCUAAAAUCAGAUAUAGCUGUAGAGAGAAGGAAUUGGGAUGGUGGUGUUGGUUAGAGGAUGGCACAUGGAAGUACACCUGGACUUAAUUCCCAGGUGAAUUUCUGGCUUGUUGUGUGAUCCCAGACAAAGCCCUAGAGCUCCUUCUGACUCAUCUUCUCUGCCUGGAAAUCAAAUCCAGUUUCUUAAGGAACUUUUUGGAUGUUGGGUUAGAGAUACAGCAGAUUAUUUCUUUCACGUAUGCAUUCUAUUCUGUUAUCAAAAGAAGUGAAAAUUUAAGAAGCAUGUGUUGGGCUGAGGAAUUUCAACUGGCAUUAGGCAACUAAUGAAAAUUACAAUUGAAGAAUAAAAUACUUUUCCUUAUUCUGAGAUGAUGGCUGAAUCAAGCAAAAAUUCUUUUAAAAGCCAUCUCAAUUGGAAACUAUUAGGUAAUUUCUUUGGAGAGUGGAGAAGGGGGUAGAUGAUAUUCCUUCUACAAUUACCCAGCCUUCUGUAAUUGAAAUGAUCUCUCUGCAUUCCAGUGAUGACCCCAGCCAUGGAUGAAAGGUGAUUUUCCCAUCUGACCUCUUGUUUUAAGUUUCCACCUGUGUAACUCUGCAUUGUGGUUAUUAACUCUCUAGGGCCUGUAGGUGAGCACAACACUGAGAGAAAAUGAAAGAUGGAGCUCUCCUUUAAGGAGUUUAAGGAGAGUUAUUCCCAGAGUUAACUCCAUUUGUGCUGGAAGGAAUUCCUCUGGAGAUCAAAUUCUAAAGUGGUGAAUGCUUACAAAACCUGUGGGGUUACAAA